CAAGUUGGCCGGGUGAUCGCAGCUGAGCAAUCAGUUGAGGAAAGUCCGCACUCCAUAGGGCAUGGUGCCGGCUAACGGCCGGGCAGGGUGACUUGACGGCAAGUGCAACAGAGAGGAAUAUUGCUAAAUUGUUACGUCAGUAGCAAUAAGUGAGGGUGAAACGGCGGUGUAAGAGACCACCGGCGGCGGCAGCAAUGUCGCCGGCCAGGCAAACCCCACCAGGAGCAAGACCAAGCAGGGUGAAAGGCAUUUCGGUGCCUACGGAGCGGCCCGCACCGUCUGACAUCCGGGUAGGUCGCAUGAGGGUUGUGGUAACACAAUUCCCAGAUAGAUGAUCACCAAGUUCAGGAGUGCCUUGUGCCACUGAGCAAACAGAAUGCGGCUUAUAGGCUGACUUGAUAA
rnacentral:RNase_P_RNA from 1 species